CCUCCCUCUUCCCCCACGACCGGUAGCCCAAAAUUUCCCCAAUUCCCCAAAUCUACACCCCUCCCUGGUUCCCUACCUUCGCUUCCUCUCCUGUCGCACCCCCCGAGUCGAUCUCCGCACUGUAUGGCGCCGACCACCAAGGAAGAGGAGGGGGGAGAGGCGUGGGAGUCAAGGCUGCUGCGGCGGCGGACUCCUGCAGGUUCCCCCACACCGCCUGCAGGGACCGCCCCGUCGCCACCGCCGUCGCAGCGGGGGAAGAGAGAAAGGCCCGGAUCCUCAAGAGGGCGGAAAAGAGCUAGGGCGACCGGCCGCGAGGACGAGAAGGAUGCCGAGGCUGCGGCGGCCUCAGCUUCACCACCCGCCGGGCAUGCUUCCUCCGGAGCAUCCUCUGGAACCAGCUCUCCUCUCCGUUGGCCUGAACUCCCUCGCGCCGUCUUAGGUGAAGAUUCCUACGGAGAGCAGAUUUUGGAGCCUUUCCAUGAGAUCGACCCGGCCAUUGUCAGGGCCCACGGCAAGCUGAAAACCAAAUAUUUUGCUAAACUGGAUCGCCAGCUCAAGUUAGUUUCGUUGGACCAGCGUAUUCCAUCUUCAUGCAUGGUAGAUCCAAGAUUGCUUUCAGUCCGUAAGGCGGCUACAAAUUCAAUUCUUCAAAUUGCUAAAGUCACAGUGGGUUUGUCAUCAUAUAUCGAUGAUAAAAUGUUGGGACGGACCUCUGGUUUUCUCAUAGAUUGGGAUGUGGAGAAUAGAAUUGGAACUGUGUUGACAUCUGCUCUCGUGAUCCAAUCAAAGUCUCCAUCACUUGAUGAGUGGUCAGCAACAGACGAGUAUGCUACCCAUGCUGAGGUCCGCGUUCAUUUCAUGGAUAAGGCUGCGACUACAGUAGUUGCUAACUUGCUGCACUACGACAAGCAUUACAAUCUUGCUUUGUUCAAGGUUUCUAUGGAUUUAUCUGCUCAGAUACCCUCAUUUACUAGUGAGCUGAAGUUUGCUGAAGAGGUUUUUGUGCUUGGAAGAGAUGAGGGUCGAUAUCUGACAAUAGAUCAUGGAAAUGUGGCAUAUGAGGGCCCAAGCAGGUUGCAACGCCACCAUUAUAUGUUUAUCACCCGUAGAAUAAAUAAGCUUGGUAUUGGUGGACCCGUCAUCAACCACGGUGGACAAGUUGCUGGGAUGUAUAGUCAUCCAGGACUGGCAUUUACACCCUCUUCUAUUAUAUUGAGGUGCCUGCAAAUGUGGAAGAGUUUCAACUGCAUACUGCGGCUGCACGUUGGGAUGAAGUUUUCAGCUAUUAGCCUCCUCGACCUUCCUCAUAGAGAGGUCAUCGCCUGCAAGUGUGAUAUCGAUGAUGGUCUCAUUGUUACACAGGUGUCUGAAGGAUCGAUUGCUGAGAAACUUGGUGUUAGGCAUGGUGAUAUUAUUAAAUCUUGGAAUGGAGAGAACAUAUCUACGACGAUUGAGCUAGAGAAUUUCUUGUUGGAUAUGUGCGAGAAGCAUCUGGACAAAGGAAACAGCAUUGGUUCCUCUGUGGAUUUAUCAAUUGGUAUCUUUCAUACGCGGAAAGGCAAACAUGGCACUAUCAAGAUGACAGUAAAUGUAUCAGAUGAUGUUGAAGUGAUUGCAGAAGGCACCUAUCCUGUCACUACUGCGGAUUGUACCUCGGGAGAUGACGAUGAUUCUGGUAUAAUUCAAGGUGAGUGCUUGUUUGCUUUCAGUUGCUAAACAUCAAAUUGUCAUUUUAUAUAUUUUGUGAAGAAACUCCUAUAAGGAAUCUUAGCUGUUCUAAAUUGUUGUCAUUAUCCAGUAUUUUCCCUAUCUGAUUGCAUUGAUUGACAUCUCACUGUAUAAUAUGUUACCUGAGCACGUUGGAUAUUAGAAUUGAUGUGAUUGCAUUAGUUCACGUUGGAUAUUAGAAUUGAUGUGAUUGCAUUAGUCUGAGAUGUGAGAAUUGAUGGGACUGCAUUAGUUUGGAAUGUGAGAGAGGGUAUCUCGUGAAACUCCUGAUGAUGAAGAUGGUGACAUGGAAAGUUAUUUUUUCUGAGCAUGGUACUCUGCGAUGAUGAAGUUGGCGAUGACUACGGUUUAGUCGACCACUUGAUUUCGUAGUUGCACUAGAACCAAAGUGAUCUUUUGUGUAAACUAACCAAUUGUGCAUGCAAGACAAACCGUGAGCUUAGUUUGGUCGACACUGAUGAAGCCACUUGUGAACCGUCAAGUUUUUGUAAAAAGAGUUGUCGAUUGACCUGUAGGCUAUGAAUGCUCAUUGCAACAAUGCACAAUUUAUGAGUCAAGUUUACUUAAGCCAUCUUUUAUGCUCAUCCUUUUGUUGUGUGACGUUCUUGACACGCUUGUUAGGUGGAUAUUUUAGUUUGACGUGACGGUUCUACAUGGUGCUUGGAUCCUUUGUAAUUGGAUGCAUAUGCAUAUUAAAAAUAUGGUACCAGCUGAAUUAUGAGA